ensembl:lncRNA
ACUUUUCUGGAUGGGGCUGGCAGCGAGCAGGACUCCAGUUGCCCAAUAUUAAUCCCAUGAUGUAAUCUGCAGAAGAUUUGUCUAUGGGGAUUGUUUGCCGGAGGGGAAUUGUGACAUGCAGGACUGUAACUGCUGAAAUCCUGAGAAAGAUGAUCAUUUGGAGAAGUUUAGGGUAAUCUUGCAGAAGGGCAGAGCAUCAGUUCUGCUCAGGUUUGCUGUGUGUUGGGAGCUUCUCCUCGGUCAUCCAUAGAAGAUAUGAAGCAUCCUGCCUUCUCUCCCACUGUGACAAGAGCCGUGCCCCGAGAGCUGUAGAUGGAAAUGUAGUUCAAACCACAGCAUGACCGUCCAUUCGUCUGCUUAUUUGUGAAAGCUGUUGGUGAGGCAGUGGGAGGUGUGGGACUGAGGAUGGAGCAGGGAGAGCCAUGAGAGCAGCAGGAGACAGCGCUGGGAGCAUCAGAUGGAGCUGUUUGUUUCACACUACUGAAGCUUGCACUUGGAUCCAAAUCAAAAUACAGGAGAGCUUUGCUGCAGAACACCACAUCUAGCCCUGGCAUCGGAAGAGCACUUAGCAACAGCAAAGCCUUCCAUUCUGAGAUGGCUGCUCUGUGGGAAGCAGUUCAGUACAUCCAAAUGUUCACUGCUCGGUUCUUCACUGAGAGGAGAGGAAACAUUCACUCCAUGGUCCUCUGGUGUCUGUGACUUUGUUCAGUGUUGCUCUCCUGCAUUAUAGAGUUCUACUCGUCAGUAACUUCCAUCACUGCAGACCCAAACACUUGCAAAGAACACAAGUGCUGGCAUUUCCUUUUUAAGGAGGAGUGCAUCAAAGUGCCAGGAGCACGGCCUGGUCCCAGCAAAGCAGUGGCAGAACUGGAACAGUGUGUGACAUAACUGAGUGCUGUGGGCUCACAGUGCCUUGGAGCAGUGUGGGAGCUGCAAAGAGUCCUUCGUCCUUUCCAGUUCCUCUCUGAGAAGUCACUGGUGUUUGGUGCCAUCCAGAGAGCAAGUAUGGGAUCAAGAAAUACUUUUUCUCUAGGGUGUUAUUAUGUACUGUGGGGCUCCUCUUUCUGAUGUUUGAAGUACUGAAGCUGUGUGUAAAGUUGCCAUUUAUCUGUGCUUUUGUUUAGGAUGUUAACAUAAUAGAGUGGCUUCUUCAGGAGCUGUGUUCUUGACCACACUCUGAGCUGCUGUAAAUGCAGCAUCCAUCCACAGGUCAGGGAAAGCUGUUCAGAAUUUGUGAUGCACAAAUAAACAGCUGUUUGUCCAUU